UAUAUAUUUUUUUUCUUUAUAAAUUACUGACUUUUGACUAUUCUUGCCAUGGUCACAAAAUCUUCAACUUUACCUAUAAGCACUGCCUAAAACACUCCAUUAUUCUCAUCCUAGAUCGCUUACAUAUUCUCUCUGAUUGAUCAUUCCUACAUGACUUGCAAAAUGGUAUUAUCCAAGAUUCAUUCUAAAGUAGUAAUGGUACUACUGGCUCUUAUUGUAGUAAUCAUGUUGCUCACGUUCUCUGAUUCUGCAGCUUUGGCAAAUGCAAAGUUCUUUGGACGAAAAGCACCAGAUAUAGGCGAGACCCAGCCUUAUAAAUGGGAGCCUCGUUUUCCACCUGGAAGAGGAUGAGGAGGAGGCUACUGCUGUCUCCAAUCCUCCUGGAGUUGUCGGCCAUGAGAAAGGAGUGGCUAUGCCGUUCGAGGAAGUAAUAAGAGUUAUUUAUUUACUGAAUAAAUAGUUGGUGUUGGAGAUGGUGGGCAUGACAAACACACACAUACGUACAUAUAUAUAUAUAUAUGUAUGUAUUAAUGCAGGUUGUAUUCAAAAUUUUAAAUUCGAUGUUCGGACCAGAUAUCUAUCCUCUUAAGGUCUGAUUCUGUACCAGCUGCGCUCAUGAGUUGGUAGGCAAAGUAAUGUAUAAUAAGAUCACUGUGGUGAUUAGAUUGUUGAGUCUUACGAGUACUAGCUUGUGUAAUGAUGUGUUACCAAAGAAUGAUGACAUCUCUAUUACGCUUUUUUCAAUACAGAAAUCUACUUUAAUA